rnacentral:rRNA from 1 species
CUACGUGCCAGCAGCCGCGGUAAUACGUAGGGCGCGAGCGUUGUCCGGAAUUAUUGGGCGUAAAGAGCUUGUAGGCGGUUUGUCGCGUCUGCUGUGAAAGGCCGGGGCUUAACCCCGUGUAUUGCAGUGGGUACGGGCAGACUAGAGUGCAGUAGGGGAGACUGGAACUCCUGGUGUAGCGGUGGAAUGCGCAGAUAUCAGGAAGAACACCGAUGGCGAAGGCAGGUCUCUGGGCUGUAACUGACGCUGAGAAGCGAAAGCAUGGGGAGCGAACAGGAUUAGAUACCCUGGUAGUCCAUGCCGUAAACGUUGGGCACUAGGUGUGAGGGACAUUCCACGUUUUCCGCGCCGUAGCUAACGCAUUAAGUGCCCCGCCUGGGGAGUACGGCCGCAAGGCUAAAACUCAAAGAAAUUGACGGGGGCCCGCACAAGCGGCGGAGCAUGCGGAUUAAUUCGAUGCAACGCGAAGAACCUUACCAAGGCU